GACGAACGCUGGCGGCGUGCCUAAUACAUGCAAGUUGAGCGCUGAAGGUUGGUACUUGUACCAACUGGAUGAGCAGCGAACGGGUGAGUAACGCGUGGGGAAUCUGCCUUUGAGCGGGGGACAACAUUUGGAAACGAAUGCUAAUACCGCAUAAAAACUUUAAACACAAGUUUUAAGUUUGAAAGAUGCAAUUGCAUCACUCAAAGAUGAUCCCGCGUUGUAUUAGCUAGUUGGUGAGGUAAAGGCUCACCAAGGCGAUGAUACAUAGCCGACCUGAGAGGGUGAUCGGCCACAUUGGGACUGAGACACGGCCCAAACCCCUACGGGAGGCAGCAGUAGGGAAUCUUCGGCAAUGGACGAAAGUCUGACCGAGCAACGCCGCGUGAGUGAAGAAGGUUUUCGGAUCGUAAAACUCUGUUGGUAGAGAAGAACGUUGGUGAGAGUGGAAAGCUCAUCAAGUGACGGUAACUACACAGAAAGGGACGGCUAACUACGUG
rnacentral:rRNA from 1 species